rnacentral:rRNA from 1 species
AUUGGGACUGAGAUACGGCCCAGACUCCUACGGGAGGCAGCAGUAGGGAAUUUUGCGCAAUGGACGAAAGUCUGACGCAGCAACGCCGCGUGGAGGAUGAAGGUUUUCGGAUUGUAAACUUCUGUUGAGUGGGAAGAACAAUUUCAUGGCUAAUAUCCAUGGAAUCUGACGGUACCAUUCGAGGAAGCCCCGGCUAACUACGUGCCAGCAGCCGCGGUAAUGCGUAGGGGGCAAGCGUUGUUCGGAAUCACUGGGCGUAAAGGGAGCGUAGGCGGAAGUGCAAGUUAGAAGUGUAAUCUAUAGGCUCAACCUGUAGCUUGCUUUUAAUACUGCUCUUCUUGAGUAUGGAAGAGGGAGAUGGAAUUCCAGGUGUAGCGGUGGAAUGCGUAGAUAUCUGGAAGAACACCAGUAGCGAAGGCGGUCUCCUGGUCCAAUACUGACGCUGAGGCUCGAAAGCUAGGGGAGCAAACAGGAUUAGAUACCCUGGUAGUCCUAGCCGUAAACGAUGGACACUAGAUGCUGGAUUCGGUUACGAAUUCAGUGUCGUAGUUAACGCGUUAAGUGUCCCGCCUGGGGAGUACGAUCGCAAGGUUGAAACUCAAAGGAAUUGACGGGGGCCCGCACAAGCGGUGGAGCAUGUGCUUUAAUUCGAUGCAACGCGAAGAACCUUACCUGGGCUUGACAUGGGGGUGAAAGUUUCCAGAGAUGGAAGCCUUUCCGCAAGGAACACCCUACACAGGUGCUGCAUGGUUGUCGUCAGCUCGUGUCGUGAGAUGUUGGGUUAAGUCCCGCAACGAGCGCAACCCUCGUCCUUAGUUGCCAACGGGUCAUGCCGGGAACUCUAGGGAGACUGCCUGGUUUAACCAGGAGGAAGGUGGGGAUGACGUCAAAUCAUCAUGGCCCUUACGUCCAGGGCUAGACACGUGCUACAAUGGCAGGUACAAUGGGCUGCAAGACCGUGAGGUCAAGCUAAUCCCCUAAAACCUGUCUCAGUCCGGAUUGGAGUCUGCAAUUCGACUUCAUGAAGCUGGAAUCGCUAGUAAUCGCGGAUCAGCAUGCCGCGGUGAAUACGUUCCCGGGCCUUGUACACACCGCCCGUCAAGCCACGAAAGAUGGCAGUACCCGAAGUCGCUUCUCUAACCGCAAGGAGGAGAGCGCCGAAGGUAAGGCUGUUGAUUGGGGCUAAGUCGUAACAAGGUA